GGAUUGAGCCCAGUCGUGGCCAGGCCGCAGUCCGGUAUGAGGGGCCGUCCUGUUUGGACAGCUGGAACCAAUGCUAAAGGGCCUCGCUAUGAUCCACCAGAGGAUGGUGCUCAGCUUUAUGGAUGGAGAAAACCGGAAGACCUGGGUUAAACCACCGAUGUUUGGCAGUUAUUGACAAACUUCCCUGGCAUUGUGCUUGUGCAGGGUAUGUACAACAUAAACAUUGAUAAAAAACGAAUGAUCUUCAACAGAGACAGCACACACGGCCACACGAGCGCUUAUUGUCACCAAGAUCUCAAGAAAAGUGAAAACAAGAAACCUACAAAUUCUCCAGAACCGGGAUUGAACCCUCACCACUUGUGUCGUAACAAUUAAAACUCAAGUGUCUUUCAUAACUGAGUCAUGACUCGACUGCUUUGGAAAAAGCGAAUUAACAUAAGAGAUCUUUAUCAGUAUAUGGGAUGAUCCGAAAUGGUCGCUGAUACUUUAAUUAGAAACGAUUAAAUAUUUAAUCGUACGUCAGCGUUUUCAUCAUUUGUUAUUAAGUUAGCAACUAAAUUUUCUAUAAGGCAACCAAACUCAAAAUCACUUUGCCCUAUAAGUAAAAUAUUCUUGAGUACGGCGUAAAACACCUAUCAAAUAAAUGAAUAUAUCAAAAACAAUUUAACUCUAACGCAACAAAAUUCUGCCACAUGCAGCUUGAAUUUGAUGUAUUAACUCUCGCUUGUGUCAUAGUUAUUGAUUUUUCCCCAUACAAUGUUUUAUUUAUAAAAUGUAAUGCAAACUAUUUUUUUCAUGCUGAAAAUCUACAUUUAGUCUCAAUUAAAAAUGU